rnacentral:rRNA from 1 species
UACGUAUGGUGCAAGCGUUAUCCGGAUUUACUGGGUGUAAAGGGAGCGUAGACGGUAAUGUAAGUCUGAUGUGAAAGCCCGGGGCUCAACCCCGGCGAGCCGUUGAAACUGACGGUCUUGAGUGGGCGAGAAGUAUGCGGAAUGCGCGGUGUAGCGGUGAAAUGCAUAGAUAUCGCGCAGAACUCCGAUUGCGAAGGCAGCAUGCCGGCUCCACACUGACGCUGAGGCACGAAAGCGUGGGUAGCGAACAGG